rnacentral:rRNA from 1 species
UUGAUCCUGCCGGAUGCUACCGCUAUUGGAGUUCGAUUAAGCCAUGCGAGUCUAAGGGGUACUUGUACCCCUGGCAUAAUGCUCAGUAACACGUGGAUAAUCUACCCUUAGGUGGGGCAUAAACCCGGGAAACUGGGGCUAAUUCCCCAUAGAUACAGAAGGCUGGAAUGCCUCUGUAUUCAAAGCUCCGGCGCCUAAGGAUGAGUCUGCGACCUAUCAGGUAGUAGUCAGGGUCACGACCUGACUAGCCAACGACGGGUACGGGGUGUGAGAGCACUUGCCCGGAGAUGGUUUCUGAGACACGAAACCAGGCCCUACGGGGCGCAGCAGGCGCGAAAACUUCGCAAUGCGGGAAACCGUGACGAGGGAACUCCAAGUGUCUAUGCAAUGCAUAGACUGUUUUUCAGCCUAAAUAGCUGUUAGAGUAAGGGGUGGGUAAGACCGGUGCCAGCCGCCGCGGUAACACCGGCACCCCCGAGUGGUAGCCACUAUUAUUGGGCCUAAAGCGUUCGUAGCCGGUUUAGUAAAUUCUUGGGUAAAUCGUACAGCUUAACUGUGCGGAUUCCGGGGACACUACUAGACUUGAGACCGGGAGAGAUUAGAGGUACUUGCAGGGGAGCGGUGAAAUGUUGUAAUCCUGCAGGGACCACCAGUGGCGAAGGCGUCUAAUCAUAACGGCUCUGACGGUGAGGAACGAAACCCUGGGG